GGGAAGGUGGCUCAGUGGUAGAGCGCUCACCUUGUAGGCCUGAGGCCCUGGGUUCGAUUCCUCAGC
rfam:Dipodomys ordii contig_58769, whole genome shotgun sequence.